UACGUAGGGGGCAAGCGUUGUCCGGAAUCAUUGGGCGUAAAGAGCGCGUAGGCGGCCCUGUAAGUCCGCUGUGAAAGUCAAGGGCUCAACCCUUGAAUGCCGGUGGAUACUGCAGGGCUAGAGUCCGGAAGAGGCGAGUGGAAUUCCUGGUGUAGCGGUGAAAUGCGCAGAUAUCAGGAGGAACACCGAUGGCGAAGGCAGCUCGCUGGGACGGUGACUGACGCUGAGGCGCGAAAGCGUGGGGAGCAAACAGG
rnacentral:rRNA from 1 species